rnacentral:rRNA from 1 species
UUUUUGAAAAUAAUAUAAAGUUUAAUCUGCCCNCUGAAUAAUUUUAAAGGGCUGCAGUAUAUUGACUGUACAAAGGUAGCAUAAUCAAUAGUCUUUUAAUUGAAGACUUGUAUGAAUGAUUUGAUGAAAUAUAAACUGUCUCUUUAUUAAAAAUAAAAUUUAAUUUUUUAGUUAAAAAGCUAAAAUAAAUAUAAAAGACGAGAAGACCCUAUAGAGUUUUAUAAUUAUUAUGAUUUAUUGCAAUUUAUAUAUUUUAAAAAUAAAUUAUAAUGAAUAUUUUAUUGGGGUGAUAGAAAAAUUUAAUAAACUUUUUUUAAAAAUUAAACAUUGAUUUAUGAAAAUAUGAUCCAUAAUUUAUGAUUACAAGAAUUAAUUACCUUAGGGAUAACAGCGUAAUUUUUUUUUUUAGUCCGAAUAAAAAAAAAAGUUUGCGACCUCGAUGUUGGAUUAAGAUAAAAUUUAAAUGCAAAAGUUUAAAAUUUUGAUCUGUUCGAUCAUUAAAAUCUU